rnacentral:misc_RNA from 1 species
AAGUCGUAACAAGGUUUCCGUAGGUGAACCUGCGGAAGGAUCAUUAGAGAAUAUGAGAGAGUGGGGGGUCAAACCUGCUCUUUUGUUUCUUGUGAACUAGUUGUUGGUCUGUUAUUUUUGAGUUGGGGAGGGGGGAAGAUCAAGGAGUAUGACUAGCUGUUGGGUUACUGUUUGUCAUGGCUAGUGCUGCAACUUUAUGGACCUCUUUUUUCCUUGGCUUGAGAGUAACAUGCUAGCAAUUUUUACUGUUUGUCAUUUUUUUUUUUUACUGUUGUUAAAUAAGACAACUUUCAGCAAUGGAUCUCUUGGCUCUU